UACGUAGGGUGCAAGCGUUGUCCGGAAUUAUUGGGCGUAAAGAGCUCGUAGGCGGCCUGUUGCGUCGGCUGUGAAAACCCGGGGCUCAACUCCGGGCCUGCAGCCGAUACGGGCAGACUAGAGUUCGGCAGGGGAGACUGGAAUUCCUGGUGUAGCGGUGAAAUGCGUAGAUAUCGGGAGGAACACCAGUGGCGAAGGCGAUCAUCUGGGGUUGUUCUGACGCUGAGGAGCGAAAGCUAGGGGAGCAAACGGG
rnacentral:rRNA from 1 species